rnacentral:lncRNA from 1 species
CUGAUCUGAAAUGAUUAAAUAAGGAAUGAGCUACACUAGCCCAGAAAAGACAUCACGAUAUCUCACCGUCACGGAGGUAAAGGUGGGUAGAAAACACAAAAAGACCAAUGGAGCAUAAUUUACAACAAAUUCUUUUUAUCAAUAAUAAAUCUUUCACCAUCCACUUACCUCGAUGGAAUCCAUAAAACAGUAUACGAAAGCAAUAACAUUAUCAUCAUCAUGAAAUCAUACAUGAACUGUAUAACAUAAUAC